rnacentral:ribozyme from 1 species
UCAUUGGAACCGCUUGAGGGAGCAAGCGCAAGCCCGAAAGCAGACGAUAAUCUUUUCCUUUGGCAAGCUUGCAUCUUUGGUCCUCCAGAUACAGCAUGGGAUGGAGGAGUC